rnacentral:rRNA from 1 species
AUUGAACGCUGGCGGAAUGCUUUACACAUGCAAGUCGAGCGGCAGCGCGGGGCAACCUGGCGGCGAGCGGCGAACGGGUGAGUAAUACAUCGGAACGUACCCUGUCGUGGGGGAUAACGAGUCGAAAGAUUCGCUAAUACCGCAUACGACCUGAGGGUGAAAGCGGGGGAUCGCAAGACCUCGCGCGAUAGGAGCGGCCGAUGGCGGAUUAGCUAGUUGGUGAGGUAAAGGCUCACCAAGGCGACGAUCCGUAGCGGGUCUGAGAGGACGACCCGCCACGCUGGAACUGAGACACGGUCCAGACUCCUACGGGAGGCAGCAGUGGGGAAUUUUGGACAAUGGGGGCAACCCUGAUCCAGCCAUUCCGCGUGAGUGAAGAAGGCCUUCGGGUUGUAAAGCUCUUUCGGCAGGAACGAAACGGUCCUUUCUAAUACAAGGGGCUAAUGACGGUACCUGAAGAAGAAGCACCGGCUAACUACGUGCCAGCAGCCGCAGUAA